rnacentral:lncRNA from 1 species
UUUUAUUGAGCUUGAAACAAAUAUCAAAAGCUCUUCAGACAAGAGCUUGAUUAACCUCGUUUGUAUCAAACUCCUUCUUCACAAAUUCAGCUUCCCUCUCCCUUGUCUUUGAGGUUUCUUUGCAAAUCAUUCUCAACUUCUGAUGAUCGUGAAAUCAUAUCACCAACAUCCCCCCUCAAGUUGGAGGGAUGUGAAACAAUCCCCAACUUGCCCAAAACAGAUAUGUGAGAUGGCCUAGAAAGGGGUUUGGUAAAUACAUCUGCAACCUGAGAAAUCGAAGGUACAUACGACAAAGAUAUAAGGCCGGCGAAGUAUUGCUGACGCACAAAGUGACAAUCAAGGUCAACGUGUUUGGUGCGUUCAUGGAAGACGGGAUUUUUGGCGAUGUGGAUCGCAGCCUGAUUAUCGGAGUGAAGUGGCACCGGCAAAGAAGGGGAAACAGAGAGAUCCUGUAGAAUUCGUACCAGCCAUAUUACCUCUGCAACCACGCGACACAUUGAGCGGUAUUCGGCCUCCGCGGAAGAUAGGGAAACCAAAGAUUGUUUCUUUGAUUUCCAAGAGACUGGAGCCCCACCUAGGGAGAUAAAAUAACCAUUGAUGGAUCUACGUGUGUCAGGGCAUCUUCCCCAAUCGGAGUCACAAAAGGAACCCAAAUCAAAUGAUGAUGAAGAAGACAAGAACAAACCCAUACUGGGAUCAAUGAGGAGAUAACGAAGGCAGCGUAUUGCAGCCUCAAAGUGAGGAACCCGAGGAGUUUGCAUUUAUUGGCUGAGAAGCUGCACUGCGAAGGAUAGAUCAGGACGGGUAUGAGUGAGGUAAUUCAACUUACCAAUGAACUUUCGAUAGACUGUGGGAUCAGACAACAGGGGACCAACAUUCAUACGAAGAUGACAAGAGGGAUCAAUUGGAGCAGAAACAGGCUUCAUGGUUAGGCAGCCAAAUUCAGUCAGCAAAUCCAAGGUAAAUUUGCGUUGACUUAGAAUUAUACCUUGUGGUUCCCGAAUGAUUUCCAAACCAAGAAAAUAAUGAGCCUUACCCAAACCUAUAAUUCGAAACUCAGAAUCAAGAAAACAUACGAGUGAUGCAACUUCGAGAGGAUCAUUCCCUGUUAGUAAGAUAUCGUCCACGUAAACUGCAAUGAUAGUUGUUUUCCCAUCUGAGUGUUUAAAGAAAAGAGAGUAAUCAUUGAGUGAGUGCGAGAAACCUUUGAAAUUCAGGGCUGCUGUGAGGCGAGCAUACCACUGUCUUGAUGCUUGUCGCAACACAUAGAGUGACUUCUUGAGUCUACACACAUGAUUAGGCAUAGGAGGGGAGAGGCCAGUGGGAAAUUUCAUGUAAACUUCUUCUUGCAAAUCACCAUGCAAGAAGGCAUUAUUGACAUCUAGUUGAAAAACUUCCCAGUGCUUCUUAACUGCCACAGUCAAUAGGCACCUGAUAGUGGUCAUUUUCACCACUGGGGAAUGAAUUUCUAUAAAAUCUAUGCCUUCUCGUUGUAUGUCCCCUCUUACAACUAACCGUGCUUUAUACCUUUCAAGCGACCCAUCUUGUUUGUAUUUCACUUUGUAAACCCAUUUACAAGGUAGAGCUUUCUUGUCUUUGGGUAGUACAACCACCUCCCAAGUCUUGUUAGUUUCAAGUGCUUGAAUCUCUUUGGACAUAGCCUCAACCCAUCCUAGAUGUAAGGAAGCUUGAUAAUAGGAGCAAGGUUCUGACAGAUGGGAAACUGAGUUUAAAAGAGUUUGGUUGUAGUGUGAUAAAGCUGAACAAGACAAGAUAGGAGGGGUAACAGGGGAGGUGAAACAACUGGAAGAGACAUUAGUAAGAAAAACAGAAUUGCAAAUGUAAUCAUUUAAGUAGAGAGGGAGAUGAUGUUCUCUGAGUGACCUCCUACGAGCUGGUUGAAUAGGUUCAGAAGAAUGACCAGAGAUGGUAGGGGACUUGUCAUUCAAAAAAGAAGGUGAAUUUGUAGUAUGGUGAGGAGAGUAUAGGAUAGGUGAAGAGGGAGAGGUAGAAGAGAUUGGAGUAGAGAAGGAUGGGGCAGUAGGUAAAGGUGAAUAAGCAAGUAGGUUAGGUGAAGAAAGAUAUGGAGUUAUAGAGGCUGAAAGUUCCUUAGGAUAGAUAGGGGAAGAAGGAACACGAUGAUCUAGGUGAGGUAAUGCUGAGUUAUCAGGAAAAAUGUGAAUGGAUUCCUUAGAAGAGAAUGGGAAGAUGUGCUCAUGAAAGACCACAUUCCGAGAAAUGAACACCUUCUUAAACUGUAAAUCAAGCAGUUUGUAUCCCUUUUUCCCAAAAGGAUACCCCAAAAACACACACUUUAGUGAUCUAGGAUCCAGUUUUGAUCUAUGGACAGGUAAAGUAGUGGCAUAGCAAAGUGAACCAAAAACCUUAAGAUGAGAAUAUGAAGGAGAUGUUCGAAAUAGGAUUUCAUAGGGUGACUUCCCAUUUAGAACUUUAGAAGGGGAUCUGUUUAUUAGAUAGGUGGCAGUCAACAAGCAUUCUCCCCAGAAGUGAACGGGCAAAUUUGACUGGAAUAAUAGUGCUCUACAGGUUUCAAGGAGAUGCCUAUGUUUCCUCUAAACAACUCCAUUUUGUUGAGGAGAGUAAGGACAAGUUGUUUGAUGUAAAAUCCCAUGUGAAGCUAAAAAUUCAGAGUGGUGAGAACCAGAACCUAACUCCCAAGCAUUAUCUGAUCUAAUUGACUUUACUUUAGUGCCAAAUUGUCUUUCUGUCAUAGCUAGAAAGUUCUUAAGGAUUGGAAAAACAUUGGAUUUGGUCCUAAGGAGAAAAGUCCAAGUAGCUCUACUAUAAUCAUCCACAAUAGUAAGAAAAUAUUUAAACCCAUCAUGAGUGCUAGACUUAUAGGGCCCCCAAGUGUCAAUGUGUAUAAGAUCAAAAACAUUUUUUGUAAUGAUACAGCUAGAAGGGAAAGGUAAUUUGACUUGUCUUGCCUUAGCACUAGUGUCACAAGCAUAUUUGUGAGAAAAAGAACCAGAAUAAGCAAUAGAACUGAUAUUCUUCAUAUUAGAAAAUGGCAAAUGUCCCAAUUUGGUAUGCCGAAGGCUUACAUCACUGGAAACUGACGCUAAAACAGAAUUUGAAAAUUGAAUCCUAACAUGCUGAUUACAAAGAGAAUGGCAAAAUGCCUUGAUUUUACUAAUAACUCCAGCUCUAGGCUUGACUUGUCUUGAAUUAAAAAUGUAAGUCCUUGCUUUACUUCACCAAGUACCACUGGCCUCUUCACUGAAGGGGCCUGCAAUAUAGCUCCAAGAGAAGAAAACAUUAGGAUGGAAUUGAAUUGAAGGCAUAAUUUGUGAACAGAUAACAAAUUAUAAUUGAAACUUGGAACAAAUAAAACCUUCUGUAGAGUGAGUUGAGGUAAAAGAGAAACUGAACCACACUGAUAAACUAAAACUUUAAGAGAAUUGGGUAGAGUAACAUGAACAGGCUUAGAGAAAGUCUGAAUAUUAAACAGAAGUCUGGAAUCAGAAGUCAUAUGUUCUGAUGCUCCUGAAUCUAGUAUUCAAGAAACAGAGUAUAAAGAAACACUAAUGAAUUUUCUUCUAGGAGUAGAAGGCCAGGGAGAAGGAAAUAUACCAGCACAAUUUGUUGAAACUUCUUCCUCAUUAAUUUGAUUUCCUUGGUUCCCAACUUUGACAUUUUGAAGCAACUGGUACAGGCUGUGAUAUUGAUCAUGUGUCAUUGGUUUUCCCCCUGAAGAAAGUGACUGAUUUCCACCAUCUUCUGCAGGUAAGACUGCAUUACUCUUAGGAGUUGGAGCAUAUCUCUUGGAUUUGGUAAAUUUGAAGUCAGAUGGGAAGCCAAUGAGCCUGUAGCAAUUUUCAAUGGUAUGAUUUUGUUUCUUACAAUAAGCACAAAACUGGACAGACUUCUUUCCCUCAGGCUUUGGGCUCAAACUGCUCCUUCACAAAUUCAGCUUUCGUCUCCCUUCUCUUUGAGGUUUCUUUGCAAAUCAUUCUCAACUUCUGAUGAUCGUGAAAUCAUAUAACCAACAAACAUCAACUCACACCAUCUAUAUCAGACAAACAUGCUUACUGAUUUCAGUUCCAAUUCAUUGAUGCAACUUCAAGCUAAAAACGGCAAAAAUAGAUUGAUGCCGCAAAUGGCUGGUUGAGAGAUAACUCAACAAGCAUCCCAAAGCUCCAUUCAUUGUCCUGAAUCUAUAGUAUAAAGAGUGCUUUCUCAGGAAGUAGAAAUAAAUAUUACCACA